AACUUUCAGCAACGGAUCUCUUGGCUCUCUCAUCGAUGAAGAACGCAGCGAAAUGCGAUAAGUAAUGUGAAUUGCAGAAUUCAGUGAAUCAUCGAAUCUUUGAACGCACAUUGCGCUCUCUGGUAUUCCGGAGAGCAUGCUUGUUUGAGUAUCAGUAAAACACUUCAAGUCCGCUCUUCUUUUUGAAGACGGAUUUGGACUUGAGCGAUCCCAACAGGACGGGUUUUCCCCUCUGGCGGGUUGCUUGAAAUGCAUGUGCAGCUUGAUUUUUAUGUGUACUAUUAGCAUAUUUAUUUAGUCCCGUUUAUCGGAUUUUUACUUUUUGCUGCAGUCAACGUAAAGGUUGAUUGUCCUCUUGCUGACUGAUUCAGGAAUUUUCGGGGAAUCGGCAACGAUUACCCGUUAAACUCGAUCUCAAAUCAAGUAAGACUACCCGCUGAACUUAAGCAUAUCAAUAAGCGGAGGCU
rnacentral:misc_RNA from 1 species